GACGAACGCUGGCGGCGUGCCUAACACAUGCAAGUCGAACGGAAAGGCCCUGCUUUUGUGGGGUGCUCGAGUGGCGAACGGGUGAGUAACACGUGAGUAACCUGCCCUUGACUUUGGGAUAACUUCAGGAAACUGGGGCUAAUACCGGAUAGGAGCUCCUGCUGCAUGGUGGGGGUUGGAAAGUUUCGGCGGUUGGGGAUGGACUCGCGGCUUAUCAGCUUGUUGGUGGGGUAGUGGCUUACCAAGGCUUUGACGGGUAGCCGGCCUGAGAGGGUGACCGGCCACAUUGGGACUGAGAUACGGCCCAGACUCCUACGGGAGGCAGCAGUGGGGAAUAUUGCACAAUGGGCGGAAGCCUGAUGCAGCAACGCCGCGUGCGGGAUGACGGCCUUCGGGUUGUAAACCGCUUUCGCCUGUGACAAAGCGUGAGUGACGGUAAUGGGUAAAGAAGCACCGGCUAACUACGUG
rnacentral:rRNA from 1 species